rnacentral:rRNA from 1 species
ACGCUCGACACCUACGGGAGGCAGCAGUGGGGAAUAUUGCACAAUGGGGGAAACCCUGAUGCAGCGACGCCGCGUGAGCGAAGAAGUAUUUCGGUAUGUAAAGCUCUAUCAGCAGGGAANAAACUGACGGUACCUGACUAAGAAGCACCGGCUAAAUACGUGCCCGCAGCCGCGGUAAUCUGAGCGGGCUGGCAAGGC